rnacentral:lncRNA from 1 species
AUGACUUCCGCCUGUACCCAUUCCCAUCAGCCCUGCUACACUGUCCUGCUCUGAGUUCUGACUACUCUCUGUCUCUAGGGAGGACUUGGCUGAAAUCUCCGAGGCAGGAGAUGAAUCCUGAUGAGAGCCAAAGUUUCUCUGAGGUGGCUCAUGGCCUAGACGCUGCUGCCCAGAACGCUGUGCAGUUCAACGGAGAAGAGCCACGGCGCUAUGUGGCUUGUCUCCGGAACGUCCUCAUCUGGGGAACGCCACCUCAGCACCCCCUCAGCGCCCCAAAGCUUCUGUCUGUGGUUGUUUCCUGUGCGAGUACAACUCGGAGCAUUCAAGCUGUUGUACCAGACUCAUCUUGCCCAGUGUCAGAAUCUCUUGUUCAAGACAGGCUGGGUGUGAAGCAUGCCUAUAGUCCUGGCACAUCAGGAGCUCAAGGCCGGUCCAGCUACUUGAGACCCGUGUGAGAGCUUAGAAGGUAAAGGUGCUUGCUGCUGUGCUUGACAGCGUGACGGAAAACAAGAAUGGACCCCUACAUGUUGUUCUUGGAUCUCCAUACAUGUUCCCAUGGACCCCCAAUAAAUAAAAUGUAAUUAAAAAAAAAA